UGGGGAAUAUUGCACAAUGGGCGCAAGCCUGAUGCAGCCAUGCCGCGUGUGUGAAGAAGGCCUUCGGGUUGUAAAGCACUUUCAGCGGGGAGGAAGGCGGUGAGGUUAAUAACCUCACCGAUUGACGUUACCCGCAGAAGAAGCACCGGCUAACUCCGUGCCAGCAGCCGCGGUAAUACGGAGGGUGCAAGCGUUAAUCGGAAUUACUGGGCGUAAAGCGCACGCAGGCGGUCUGUCAAGUCGGAUGUGAAAUCCCCGGGCUCAACCUGGGAACUGCAUUCGAAACUGGCAGGCUAGAGUCUUGUAGAGUGGGGUAGAAUUCCAGGUGUAGCGAUGAAAUGCGUAGAGAUCUGGAGGAAUACCGGUGGCGAAGGCGGCCCCCUGGACAAAGACUGACGCUCAGGUGCGAAAGCGUGGGGAGCAAACAGG
rnacentral:rRNA from 1 species